rnacentral:lncRNA from 1 species
AGCACCACUUCUUCGAGGCUUGGAUUCAGUAUUCCACCUUCUCUUACUAUCCCAAAUCCUCCUUCCAAUUCUUCUUCGUCUUGGAGUGCUGUUUCUGACCUUUCAAACCACCCUGACGACUUGAUUAGUCCAAGUGGUAGUUCGCUUAAUCCUGCCUCUGCACCUUUCUAUGCUAAUGGUGGGGGAGUGGGAUCUGAUUUGAUAGAUGAGUUUCAGCUCCAAGACCAGCUUGCUUUCCUCGGUGAUAACUCAGCAAAUCUUGG